GAUGAACGCUGGCGGCGUGCUUAACACAUGCAAGUCGAACGAAGAUACUUAAAAUGAGAGCUUCGGCAGGAAUUUUAUUUAUCUUAGUGGCGGACGGGUGAGUAACGUGUGGGCAACCUGCCCUAUACUGGGGAAUAAUCACUGGAAACGGUGACUAAUACCGCAUGUCAUUACGGAAGGGCAUCCUUCUGUAAGAAAAGGAGUAAUUCGGUAUAGGAUGGGCCCGCAUCUGAUUAGCUAGUUGGUGAGAUAACAGCCCACCAAGGCGACGAUCAGUAGCCGACCUGAGAGGGUGAUCGGCCACAUUGGGACUGAGACACGGCCCAAACUCCUACGGGAGGCAGCAGUGGGGAAUAUUGCACAAUGGGGGAAACCCUGAUGCAGCAACGCCGCGUGAAGGAAGAAGGUUUUCGGAUCGUAAACUUCUAUCAACAGGGACGAAGAAAGUGACGGUACCUGAAUAAGAAGCCCCGGCUAACUACGUG
rnacentral:rRNA from 1 species